AGUCAUUUCAAAACAAGACUCAGAAUCGUGCCUGUUUGUUCAAUGGUAGGUAUACAUGAAGUAUCUGAAAGCCACACUUGAGUAAAAGAACACCAGAAAAAGACUUUAGAAGGUACUGUACAAGAUAAGCACUUCCUGUGACUAUGAGAAUUGAAACGCAACAGGAAACCAAAAUAUGUCCAAUUUAGCUGAGCUUGGCAAGCACAGCAUUGCUAAGAGAUGUGCAAGCUACCCAUGCCAUAGGCAUUAAUGCAUCCCCAUACCACCAUGUUGGAUGGCCCCUCUCCUCUUCACCUCCAAGGAUGCAGGGUCCUUGAUGUCCAUCAAGAAUGAGACAUUUUGAUUGGUCUACCCAUGGAACUAGAACACUUUUCCACUUCGCCUGGGUUCAUCUUAAUUCGCCUUAUUCACCCGGCGGCCAUUACGAGUCUGAGGGGUACACUUGCCAUUACACCUCAGUCCAGCA